GCCUGGAUAGCUCAGUUGGUUACAGCAUGGUGCUGAUAAAAACCAAGGUUGCAGGUUUGAUCCCCGUAUGGGACA
rnacentral:tRNA from 1 species